rnacentral:lncRNA from 1 species
AGGGGAACAGAUUGAUCAUGCACAUUUCAUCAAAAAAGCCUCAGUUNNNNNNNNNNNNNNNNNNNNNNNNAGCCUUUUUAAAUGAAGCAUUGCUGUAAACUGUACAGAACCAUUCAGAACCCACUAAGUGGACGCUCUCAGUACAGUGUUGUGUGAUGUUGUUUUCACUGGCUUUAUCAUAAUGGUUCUGUAUAUAAAGUUGCACGUCCUUGAAUCCAGGAUACAAUCAAAGGAACUUCAGGAAAUAAGCAUUUCUGAAUGCCUGUGUGAAAGCUGCAAAAUUUCUGAUGUCAUGACUUUGAUGAUAUUUCUGUUAAUCUAAUAUCCUUUUAGGUAGCAAGGCCUUUUGGCAUUCUUUGGGACUCAAGUGCUUACAUUCUUUUGGAUUAACAAGUAGCAAAAAAAAAAACCAAAACCCUAAUUUUAUAACUUUUUAAGGUCAGAAUUCUUAUCAAACAAAAUAUUUAAAAAACUGUAAAUGAGAAAAAAUACAAUUUAGCAACUAUCAAAUGAAUUAAUAGUAGAAGAUAAAAAUGUGUAGAGCACCAUUAACUUUCUUCAGCUUUUCUAAGAAUAACAGUUUAAUAUGAUAAAUUCUUGAUUAAUAUAUAUAUAUAUUUUUUAAAGAAACGUUCUUUUACUCUUUUGUGCACAUAGCCAGGUUAGUGAUUGAUUUUCAUGUAUGGGUCCCAGUUAAUUUAAACUUUGUCAUUUUUGCAACAACAUUGAAUUUGUGCUCACCGUUGGUAUUGUUUACUAAAAUAGUAUUUUUUAAGGUGAUUAACAUGUAUUGGGUUGAGACCCUUUUCUUUUUUUCUAUCUCUCCGUCCCUCUCUGAAACUUGCUUUGUAAUUUGAUUUUUGUAUUGAAACGCAUUGUAGUGUAGGUGGCAGCAAUCAAAAUGCCAAUGGUGUCCUGAAUGUUUACAAUUUUCUUUUCUCGGUCUUUUGUUUUAAAUCAUUCUAAAGAGAUUUCAAAGCAAACCAACCAAUCUUUCCUGUUUACAUAUGAAAGAAUUUGGGUAAAGUGGUAUCUGUGUGGGCAUGGGUGCAGGAAGGAGUGGUGUGGGGAGUUGGCUGCGCUGUGCACAGCAUGCUUGUCCUUGGUUUACACAGUGGGGUUUGCUGAUCCACUUUCUAUGCUUCCUUUAAGUGAUGCUUAUCACUCAAAUAUGCUUUUGAGCUUUCUUGGGUUUUUGUUUUGUUUUUUUUCGGUUGAUGUGUUAAGCAGCAGCACUUUGCUCCUUGCCUUCCCGUUUACUGACAUUUGUAGGAGCAGCAGUCUAGCGAGCCUUCCAGCCUGA